AAAGAAACCAACAGGGAUUGCCCCAGUAACGGCGAGUGAAGCGGCAACAGCUCAAAUUUGAAAUCUGGCCUCGGCCCGAGUUGUAAUUUGCAGAGGAAGCUUCUGGUGCGGUCUGUCCCGAGUCCCCUGGAACGGGGCGCCGGAGAGGGUGAGAGCCCCGUACGGACGGAUACCAAUCCUGUGUGAAGCUCCUUCGACGAGUCGAGUAGUUUGGGAAUGCUGCUCAAAAUGGGAGGUAAAUUCCUUCUAAAGCUAAAUACCGGCCAGAGACCGAUAGCGCACAAGUAGAGUGAUCGAAAGAUGAAAAGCACUUUGAAAAGAGGGUUAAACAGCACGUGAAAUUGUUGAAAGGGAAGCGCUUGUGACCAGACUUGCGCCAGGUCGAUCAUCCGGUGUUCUCACCGGUGCACUCGGCCUGGCUCAGGCCAGCAUCGGUUCCCGCGGGGGGAUAAAGGCCCAGGGAAUGUAGCUCCUCCGGGAGUGUUAUAGCCCGGGGCGCAAUGCCCCCGUGGGGACCGAGGUUCGCGCAUCUGCAAGGAUGCUGGCGUAAUGGUCAUCAGCGACCCGUCUUGAAACACGGACCAAGGAGUCAAGGUUUUGCGCGAGUGUUUGGGUGUCAAACCCGCACGCGUAAUGAAAGUGAACGUAGGUGAGAGCUUCGGCGCAUCAUCGACCGAUCCUGAUGUCUUCGGAUGGAUUUGAGUAGGAGCGUUAAGCCUUGGACCCGAAAGAUGGUGAACUAUGCUUGGAUAGGGUGAAGCCAGAGGAAACUCUGGUGGAGGCUCGCAGCGGUUCUGACGUGCAAAUCGAUCGUC
rnacentral:rRNA from 1 species